rnacentral:tRNA from 1 species
AAACUUAGGCUAACACAAACCGGGGGCCUUCAAAGCCCCAGAUAGGGCCAACCCCCUAGCUUCU